rnacentral:rRNA from 1 species
AUGCCGACGUCGCCACCGUCGCUCCUGGACCUCCUGAGCCCCUCUCCUCCGCCUGCUCCUUCGCCGGCGGCGUCGGCUGGCGCCACGGUGGUGCAGGUGGUGCCGAUGGACGUCUCCGAGGAGCUGCUGGGCAAGUUCAUGGACGCCAGCGAGUUCGGCUUCGACUACGACACGAGCGGCCUCUGGUCCCCGCUCGUCCUCGCGCUCGCCUCGGGCCGCGCCAAGCGUCCACGCCCGCGCCGGAGCUGGAGAAGGAAGAUGUUUUGCUGCUGGUGA